GCUGGGCAUGGUGAUGCAUGCCUGCAGUCCCAGCUACUCAGGAGGCUGAGGUGGGAGGAUCCCUUGAGCCCAGAAGUUCAAGGCUGCAAUGAGCCUUUAAGAAGGUGCCAUUGCACUCCAGCCUGGGCCACAGAGGGAGACCCUGUCUCUA
rnacentral:SRP_RNA from 1 species